rnacentral:rRNA from 1 species
GGAUUGACACAUCGGUCGUGCCCUAAGGGGUAUGAACUGGUGUAGUCAAUUUCUCACCUUCUGGAGAACCGCGAUGCCCUUAAUUGGGUGUCACGGGGAACCAGGACCUUUACUUUGAAAAAAUUAGAGUGUUUAAAACAGGCGUUUGCUUGAAUACAUUAGCAUGGAAUAACGGAAUAG